UGCUCAGCAACUCCUAUCCUUACCUCCCCGUGGUACCGACCGGAAACUAUGAGCAACCUUAGGGAAGUACGGGUAACCAACCCCGAUGGGAAAUUUGGUCGUAAGCUGAUAGGGAAGG
rfam:Aedes albopictus isolate Foshan contig90896, whole genome shotgun sequence.